rnacentral:lncRNA from 1 species
UUCUAUUAUUACUUCAUUCUCAGAAACCCAGAAGGCCCCAAACAAGGUCAGGAUCCCUCCUGCACUGCACUGUGCAAGCCCCUGCUGAGAAAGAGUCCCAGUUCUUAUAGCAUUUAAAUAGAUACAUCAAUCAAACAGAGAGCAAUAAAAUGGCUCGCAGCCAAAUUAGAUGAGCAGAACAUUUAAAUUCCUGGUGCUCCAAGUCUCCUGCCCAGUGAACGUGGUUCCAGCCCUGUCUGCAGAGGGCACCUCUCUGGUGCUGAGUGUUUUGUGGCUCCUCCAGAGCCAGCUCUUCCCCGGAGCUGACGCACAGGCAGGGACAGGCAGCAGAGGGGCAACAACUGGGAGCAAUCUCGGCGCAAUUCCAGGGGCUGGGAGCGACACUGCGGCAGUCAGGGAGAGCUGGAGCGGGAUGUGUCACCCUGGAGUGACAGGGACGGUAACGAGGGAGUUAAGGAACUCAGAAAAACUGGAUAAGGACUUGGAAUAGAGACUACAAAUCCUUUGAACUGUGAAGAACCAGACCCGAAGCUUAAGUGAAGCUAAUGGCAUGAUCCAAAGACUAUUGAAAGCAAUGUGGACCUUUCUCCUGCUGGAUAUUGAGAGAUUUUGCAUCAGCAAGAUGAGAAGCAGUCAAACAUUCCGAUUAAAAAAAUAAUCUGGAGAGGAGACAGCAGAGGAGGGAACAGAAAUAACAGCCAGCAGAGCCUGUUACUUUCCAGAUUCCUUACAAGUUUGGUCUGAGACAGAAGAAUUGCUCCUUCCCAUUUGGGCUUCUUGCCAAAGGAGCUUUCCAGAGAUAUUUGAGAUAAGAGGCUCAGGCCUGGAUCCCAGGCCACCUGUCCAGCUCUGGGGUGUGUCACUGCUAACGAGGCUCAACAGUCACUGACACAAUGGGCAAGGAUGGAGGGAGCCUGAGCAACAUUCCUUGGUGCUUCUGCCUCCCCUCCUCUAACCUGGGAACUCUGCUGCUGGGGAUCCAGUCUUCCAAAACUGACACUUAAAAAUGUCCUUUAUGUUUAGAAAUUAGCAGAUACCUGGCCUGGAAUUCAAACUUGAAUUCCCAUUACCUUGUGUCUUUCGAGGACACAAGUGGAAGAAAGGCACAUGCUGGGAGAUACAAGAUUCUGGUCUGUUCUUUUCUCCUAUUUAAAACCCCUGAUUAAAUGCCAUGUCUUUGACCCACACGAGUUCAGUCGUUCUGCUGCCCUGAAAAUACACCUGUGGGCCAGAUUUUUGGCAAUUUUGGAACAGAAACAGAAGCUCAUGUGAAGACAGAACCAACCCUGUGAGCUCCGUUGGAGACACCAGCACUGACAGAGGGAAGGUCCAGCUGUGACCACCAAGUUUGAAGGCAGCAUCAAGGAAAUC